AUUGAACGCUGGCGGCAUGCCUUACACAUGCAAGUCGAACGGCAGCAUGGGUGCUUGCACCUGAUGGCGAGUGGCGAACGGGUGAGUAAUGCAUCGGAACGUACCCGGAAGUGGGGGAUAACGUAGCGAAAGUUACGCUAAUACCGCAUAUUCUGUGAGCAGGAAAGCGGGGGAUCGCAAGACCUCGCGCUUCCGGAGCGGCCGAUGGCGGAUUAGCUAGUUGGCGGGGUAAAGGCCCACCAAGGCAACGAUCCGUAGCGGGUCUGAGAGGAUGAUCCGCCACACUGGGACUGAGACACGGCCCAGACUCCUACGGGAGGCAGCAGUGGGGAAUUUUGGACAAUGGGCGCAAGCCUGAUCCAGCCAUGCCGCGUGAGUGAAGAAGGCCUUCGGUUGUAAAGCUCUUUCGGCUGGGAAGAAAUCGCAUCUCCUAAUACGGGGUGUGGAUGACGGUACCAGCAUAAGAAGCACCGGCUAACUACGUGCCAGCCGCCGCGGUAA
rnacentral:rRNA from 1 species